rnacentral:tRNA from 1 species
GGCGGGGUGACGUGGCGGAACGCAACUCAGUUGGUCACGGAGCGGUAACACCGGUCACCGGUGUGCCGGCGGGUCCCAAUUCCGUCCCUGGCC